CCUACGGGAGGCAGCAGUGAGGAAUAUUGGUCAAUGGGCGAGAGCCUGAACCAGCCAAGUAGCGUGAAGGAUGACUGCCCUAUGGGUUGUAAACUUCUUUUAUACGGGAAUAACAAGCGGCACGUGUGCCGCUCUGCAUGUACCGUAUGAAUAAGCAUCGGCUAACUCCGUGCCAGCAGCCGCGGUAAUACGGAGGAUGCGAGCGUUAUCCGGAUUUAUUGGGUUUAAAGGGAGCGCAGACGGGUCUUUAAGUCAGUUGUGAAAGUUUGCGGCUCAACCGUAAAAUUGCAGUUGAUACUGGAGACCUUGAGUGCGGUAUAGGCAGGCGGAAUUCGUGGUGUAGCGGUGAAAUGCUUAGAUAUCACGAAGAACUCCGAUUGCGAAGGCAGCUUGCUGGACCGUAACUGACGUUGAGGCUCGAAAGUGCGGGUAUCAAACAGGAUUAGAUACCCUAGUAGUC
rnacentral:rRNA from 1 species